rnacentral:lncRNA from 1 species
CGGUGGUAAAACAGAAGGCUUCACGCAGAGGAGGCAUUCAAAGCAUUUGUGCCGUGUGCCCCCCACCCCCCACCUCCCCACUCUCCCCACUCUCCCCACCCCUGCUCAGGGCACAGGCCCCAGGCCCCAGCUGCCGAAGCCUCUCACAACAGACCUUCCGGUCUCUCUGGGCUCCGCUCUGUCAAAUGGAAAUCAGCAACACAGGCCACAGAGUAAUUAAACCGCUGGCAUUCUUUUGACAAAAAAUAUUUCUCUUGGGAUAUUCCCACAGGCCACUGAAGGACUGUCUGGGGCCUGCAAGCUCCCAGCUGAAUAUCAAGGGAGUUUUGAAAUUGGCCUUGACUCGGGAUCAAAAGGGGAUGGGAGUUCGGGGUGUGAAUAUGGGGGUGGGAAAUGCAUUAUAAUUAAAUUUAUCAUUUGGUCUUUCAGCUUGAAGCACCAACACCUGCUUCCCCAGGACAAAUAUGGACAGAGAAUAAAGAGAGACCUUCGAGGAUUGUCGUUAAAGACAUUGCAAGACGGCGGGAGCUACGUGCCAGGUGAACAGUCAAUAAAUUCGACCUCCCUCCCUUCCUGAGCAUUCGGACCACACAGAGGCCUCCCCUGCUCUUGGCUUUGGCUUUGAGGAGCCUGUGGUCGUGGAGAGGAUUUCACACUGGAAGUACGUGCAUUCCAAAUU